rnacentral:rRNA from 1 species
AUGUCGGAGAUGCUCGCGGCGGUGCGGCGCUUCAACGAGGAGCCCUCGGAGGCUAGGGCGCCGUACUACAGCCGGGACCACGGCCGGCGCGUCAGGUACACGAGCAACUUCGACCUGUUCCAAUCGCCGGCCGCCAACUGGCGCGACAGCGUGUACAUCGACAUGACGCCAGACCCGCCGGCGCCCGAGGAGAUCCCGCCGACCCUCCGGAGCGUCGUGCCGGAGUAUGAGCGGCUGGCGCAGCAGCUGUACCGCGAGCUGCUAGAACUGCUGUCGGAGGCCCUGGGACUGCGCCGCGGGCACCUGAAGAAGGACGCCGGGUGCCUCGACGGGCUCAACCUCGCCGCCCACUACUACCCGGCGUGCCCGGAGCCGCACCUGACCAUGGGCACCACCCGGCACUCCGACCCCAGCUUCCUCACCGUGCUGCUCCAGGACGCCGUCGGCGGCCUCCAGGUGCUCGUGGAGGAUGACGGCGGCUCCUCUGAGUGGGUGGAGGUGCCGGCGGUGCCGGGGGCACUGGUGGUGAACAUCGGCGACUACCUGCAGCUCGUGUCCAACGACAUGUUCAAGAGUUUGGAGCACCGCGUGGUGGCCAACGGCGUGGGACCCCGCGUGUCGGUGGCAUGCUUCUUCAGGACGCACGGCGCCGCCGCGUCCACGAGGGUGCUGCAGCCGAUCGUCGCCGGCGGAGACCGCGCGAGGUACAAGAGCGCGACCGUGGAGGAGCUGCUCCGGCACUACAGGGCCAAGGGCCUGGACGGCACCUCCGCGUUGGACCACUUCAGGCUCCGAACGGAGCGCUGA